AGUGAACGCUGGCGGUAGGCCUAACACAUGCAAGUCGAACGGCAGCACAGUAAGAGCUUGCUCUUACGGGUGGCGAGUGGCGGACGGGUGAGGAAUACAUCGGAAUCUACUUUUUCGUGGGGGAUAACGUAGGGAAACUUACGCUCAUACCGCAUACGACCUACCGGUGAAAGCAGGGGAUCUUCGGACCUUGCGCGAUUGAAUGAGCCGAUGUCGGAUUAGCUAGUUGGCGGGGUAAAGGCCCACCAAGGCGACGAUCCGUAGCUGGUCUGAGAGGAUGAUCAGCCACACUGGAACUGAGACACGGUCCAGACUCCUACGGGAGGCAGCAGUGGGGAAUAUUGGACAAUGGGCGCAAGCCUGAUCCAGCCAUACCGCGUGGGUGAAGAAGGCCUUCGGGUUGUAAAGCCCUUUUGUUGGGAAAGAAAAGCAGCAGGUUAAGACCCCGCUGUUCUGACGGUACCCAAAGAAUAAGCACCGGCUAACUUCGUG
rnacentral:rRNA from 1 species